GGUAGUCCAUGCCGUAAACGAUGAGUGCUAAGUGUUGGAGGGUUUCCGCCCUUCAGUGCUGCAGCUAACGCAUUAAGCACUCCGCCUGGGGAGUACGACCGCAAGGUUGAAACUCAAAGGAAUUGACGGGGGCCCGCACAAGCGGUGGAGCAUGUGGUUUAAUUCGAUGCUACGCGAAGAACCUUACCAGGUCUUGACAUCUUCUGCCAACCUAAGAGAUUAGGCGUUCCCUUCGGGGACAGAAUGACAGGUGGUGCAUGGUUGUCGUCAGCUCGUGUCGUGAGAUGUUGGGUUAAGUCCCGCAACGAGCGCAGCCCUUAUUGUUAGUUGCCAGCAUUCAGUUGGGCACUCUAGCAAGACUGCCGGUGACAAACCGGAGGAAGGUGGGGAUGACGUCAAAUCAUCAUGCCCCUUAUGACCUGGGCUACACACGUGCUACAAUGGACGGUACAACGAGUCGCGAAACCGCGAGGUCAAGCUAAUCUCUUAAAGCCGUUCUCAGUUCGGAUUGUAGGCUGCAACUCGCCUACAUGAAGUUGGAAUCGCUAGUAAUCGUGGAUCAGCAUGCCACGGUGAAUACGUUCCCGGGCCUUGUACACACCGCCCGUCACACCAUGAGAGUUUGUAACACCCAAAGCCGGUGAGGUAACCUUCG
rnacentral:rRNA from 1 species